rnacentral:rRNA from 1 species
UGGGGAAUAUUGCACAAUGGGCGCAAGCCUGAUGCAGCCAUGCCGCGUGUAUGAAGAAGGCCUUCGGGUUGUAAAGUACUUUCAGCGGGGAGGAAGGGAGUAAAGUUAAUACCUUUGCUCAUUGACGUUACCCGCAGAAGAAGCACCGGCUAACUCCGUGCCAGCAGCCGCGGUAAUACGGAGGGUGCAAGCGUUAAUCGGAAUUACUGGGCGUAAAGCGCACGCAGGCGGUCUGUCAAGUCGGAUGUGAAAUCCCCGGGCUCAACCUGGGAACUGCAUCUGAUACUGGCAAGCUUGAGUCUCGUAGAGGGGGGUAGAAUUCCAGGUGUAGCGGUGAAAUGCGUAGAGAUCUGGAGGAAUACCGGUGGCGAAGGCGGCCCCCUGGACAAAGACUGACGCUCAGGUGCGAAAGCGUGGGGAGCAAACAGG